UACGUAGGAGGCAAGCGUUGUCCGGAAUUACUGGGCGUAAAGCGCGUGUAGGUGGUGGGACAAGUCUGCUGUGAAAGCGCCUGGCUUAACCGGGCGAGGUCGGCGGAAACUGUUCGACUCGAGGACGGUAGAGGGGGGUGGAAUUCCCGGUGUAGUGGUGAAAUGCGUAGAGAUCGGGAGGAACACCUGUGGCGAAGGCGGCCCCCUGGGCCGGCCCUGACACUGAGACGCGAAAGCGUGGGGAGCAAACAGG
rnacentral:rRNA from 1 species